rnacentral:rRNA from 1 species
UGGUGGAGUGAUUUGUCUGGUUAAUUCCGUUAACGAACGAGACCUCGACCUGCUAAAUAGUACACGGAAGCCUAGGUUUCCGUCGCACUUCUUAGAGGGACUAUCGGGAGCAAACCGAUGGAAGUUCGAGGCAAUAACA